GGUUAAGCGACUAAGCGUACACGGUGGAUGCCCUGGCAGUCAGAGGCGAUGAAGGACGUGCUAAUCUGCGAAAAGCGCCGGCGAGGUGAUAUGAACCUUUGACCCGGCGAUGUCCGAAUGGGGAAACCCAGUGUGAUUCGUCACACUAUCGUUAACUGAAUACAUAGGUUAACGAAGCGAACCGGGGGAACUGAAACAUCUAAGUACCCCGAGGAAAAGAAAUCAACCGAGAUUCCCCCAGUAGCGGCGAGCGAACGGGGAGCAGCCCAGAGUCUGAAUCAGCGUGUGUGUUAGUGGAAGCGUCUGGAAAGUCGCACGAUACAGGGUGAAAGUCCCGUACACGAAAGCACACAGGCUGUGAACUCGAAGAGUAGGGCGGGACACGUGGUAUCCUGUCUGAAUAUGGGGGGACCAUCCUCCAAGGCUAAAUACUCCUGACUGACCGAUAGUGAACCAGUACCGUGAGGGAAAGGCGAAAAGAACCCCGGCGAGGGGAGUGAAAAAGAACCUGAAACCGUGUACGUACAAGCAGUGGGAGCAUCCUUCGGGGUGUGACUGCGUACCUUUUGUAUAAUGGGUCAGCGACUUAUAUUCUGUAGCAAGGUUAACCGAAUAGGGGAGCCGAAGGGAAACCGAGUCUUAACUGGGCGUUAAGUUGCAGGGUAUAGACCCGAAACCCGGUGAUCUAGCCAUGGGCAGGUUGAAGGUUGGGUAACACUAACUGGAGGACCGAACCGAC
rnacentral:ncRNA from 1 species